GGGGAAUUAGCUCAAAUGGUAGAGUGCUUGCUUAGCAUGUGAGAUGUAGUGGGAUCGAUGCCCACAUUCUCCA
rnacentral:tRNA from 1 species